rnacentral:lncRNA from 1 species
GCCACAAGCCGCCCAAGGAGCACGGGCCCAAGCCGGAGAAGCCGCCCAAGGGGAACAAGCCUCCCACCUUCACCCCGUCGCCGAAGCCGGCGCCGCCGACGCCCAAGCCGACUCCUCCGACGUACACACCGUCGCCGAAGCCGACGCCACUGACGCCGAAGCCUACUCCACCCACAUACACGCCGACGCCGAAGCCCACGCCGCCGACGUACACUCCGUCGCCGAAGCCUACCCCACCGACGUACACUCCCACGCCAAAACCCACUCCUCCGACGUACACCCCGUCACCCAAGCCACCGGUGACCAAGCCG